rnacentral:rRNA from 1 species
GAGUACGGCCGCAAGGUUAAAACUCAAAUGAAUUGACGGGGGCCCGCACAAGCGGUGGAGCAUGUGGUUUAAUUCGAUGCAACGCGAAGAACCUUACCUGGUCUUGACAUCCACGGAAGUUUUCAGAGAUGAGAAUGUGCCUUCGGGAACCGUGAGACAGGUGCUGCAUGGCUGUCGUCAGCUCGUGUUGUGAAAUGUUGGGUUAAGUCCCGCAACGAGCGCAACCCUUAUCCUUUGUUGCCAGCGGUCCGGCCGGGAACUCAAAGGAGACUGCCAGUGAUAAACUGGAGGAAGGUGGGGAUGACGUCAAGUCAUCAUGGCCCUUACGACCAGGGCUACACACGUGCUACAAUGGCGCAUACAAAGAGAAGCGACCUCGCGAGAGCAAGCGGACCUCAUAAAGUGCGUCGUAGUCCGGAUUGGAGUCUGCAACUCGACUCCAUGAAGUCGGAAUCGCUAGUAAUCGUGGAUCAGAAUGCCACGGUGAAUACGUUCCCGGGCCUUGUACACACCGCCCGUCACACCAUGGGAGUGGGUUGCAAAAGAAGUAGGUAGCUUAACCUUCGGGAGGGCGCUUACCACUUUGUGAUUCAUGACUGGGGUGAAGUCGUAACAAGGUAACCGUAGGGGAACCUGCGGUUGGAUCAC